rnacentral:rRNA from 1 species
UACAGAGGGGGCAAGCGUUGUUCGGAAUUACUGGGCGUAAAGAGCGUGUAGGCGGCCCGGUCAGUCCGCCGUGAAAGUCCAGGGCUCAACCCUGGAAUGCCGGUGGAUACUGCCGGGCUGGAGUCCGGAAGAGGCGAGUGGAAUUCCUGGUGUAGCGGUGAAAUGCGCAGAUAUCAGGAGGAACACCGAUGGCGAAGGCAGCUCGCUGGGACGGUACUGACGCUGAGACGCGAAAGCGUGGGGAGCAAACAGG